ACACGGAAGUCAACUCGAGCGUCCAACAUGUCAAGCGGUGGAUACAAACAUGUGAGCCAUGUCAUUUUCGACAUGGAUGGAUUAAUAUUAGACACAGAGCGUCUUUACACCGUGUCCUUCCAGGAAGUCUGCGACCGCUUUGGAAAGCGGUACACAUGGGAUGUGAAGUCCUUAGUGAUGGGGAAAAAGGCUCUGGACGCUGCCGAAGUGAUUCGGGACAAACUGGAGCUUCCCAUGACAGCCGAGGAACUUCUGACUGAGACCAGACAAAUACAAGAAAGAAUAUUUCCCUCUGCCAAACUCAUGCCAGGAGUGGAGAAACUUGUGCGCCAUCUGAAGCAGCGUGCCGUCCCCAUUGCUGUGGCAACCAGCUCAGCCGGAGUGACGUUCCAGCUGAAGACUAGCCAACACAAAGACUUUUUUGGUCUGUUUGACCACAUCGUUGUGGGCGAUGAUCCUGACGUGAAGAACAGCAAACCUCAGCCUGACUCCUUCCUGGUCUGUGCCAGCAGAUUCAACCCUCCAGCUCCUCCAGAGAAGUGCUUGGUGUUUGAGGACGCCCCCAACGGCGUGAAGGCGGCGCUGGCGGCCGGAAUGCAGGUGGUGAUGAUCCCCGACGACAACCUGGACCCCAGCCUUACCCAGGAGGCCACGCUGCGACUCAGGAGCAUGGAGGAGUUUGCGCCGCAGCUCUUUGGGCUGCCAGCGUACGUCUGAGCCGGAACCCUGUGUGCGUUUCAAGAAGCUCGAGCAGCCCCAGGCGUUUGCCUGCAUGAAGCCCCUGCAUAUGCAUGAAACUGCUGGACACUGGCAGCGUAUUUUUAAACCUAACCUGAGACUUUCUGCACUUUACUACUUCUACAGUAGUACUUCUACAGUCUCUCCAUCUGCUCCCUUGAGGCCUUUUGGCAGGACGACUGUACGCUGGGUCAGCCGUCUUAUGCCCUCACAUCUCACUGAGUCUCUGAUAAAAUCCAUGAGAGAGGCACCGCAGGCUGCGCCCCAUUCAACCCACGGGACUUGGCCAAACCAAAUAGCUCUACGGCUGCAUGUAAAAAGCACAGGCUGUGGCUGGAUUGCCAAGAAGUGGAGCAACGCAGGAGAAUGCGGAGAUCUGACGGGAGCGGGUGCUGCCGCGUGUCAUUUUGGAUUCUGCUGCCAAAGUGUGCAACCUCAACUUGAACCAAAAGGGAUUUUACGGAGAUGAAGAUAUCGAGAAGGAGCACUUUGUCUGUUCGGAGAUAGCAUGCAGAAUAUCGGCAUGCUUCCUCAGUGAUGCAAAUAGACCUCAUGUUUUAUUCAGCUGCCAGUGAUGAGAGAAUACAUUUGGUUACAAAUGCAGGUGAUGGCCAGGGCGAUGUUGGGAAGCAACAUUUGUGGAUUUUAAUGCACAGUCGAGGCCGGCCAAUAUUAGAUUAACGCGCUUCACAACAACGGUGACGUCUCUCGUACAUUUUCAUAUCUCGAGGGUUUGAUACUCCUGAAAUACGAGAAGUUCUUAGCCUGGUCUUCAAGAAAUGCUGCUAUUAUGUGUUUCUGUGUCAGACCACAUUGAUAUGUACAUGGGUAAAUCAUCCGGGGGGAAUCUGUUGGGUCGAGUAUCCCGUGGUGUCACCACAGUAUCACAAUGUCAAAUUUUCCUGAGAAGUUGUUGCGUCGUCUGAUAGACGGCACUCUCGUCUCCGCUCGUGCCCUUUAUACAAACACUGGUCCAAACUCUUCAAACGAGGUCAAGGGUGGUGAUGGAGAGAGAUUUGUUUUCGUCAUGUUUUAAAUGAUGGGCCGUCAUUUUGCUGCCAGCUGUUAUUCUGUCUGAUGCUGCGUUCACCACAGAUACUGACAUUCUACAGUCCUGCAUGUCUUUGUCUGUCCUCCUCGAUCUAUAGAUGUAUAGAUAGACUUUAUGCAAAUGUUCAUGGUUACCAGAUACUUUUGUAGUGGGAACAACAAUAAGCAGUGUUUCGGUUCCGUACGUUUGCGUAAUUUCAUUUACCAAAAUAACCGUUCCAUUUUUCGGUGCCCUUCCUUUGGGAUACCAGAGUAAAGGUACGGUGCUGGUAGAGUUAGACCCAUGUUAGGAAAAACCUCACUCCCUUGCGACUUGGUGUUUCUUUAAUGACUAUUUUGAUAAUCGAUUCAUCGGUUUGAAGCUUUCUUCA